GUGGCCGUAGCUCAGUUGGUAGAGUCCGGGAUUGUGAUUCCCGUUGUCGUGGGUUCGAGCCCCAUCGGUCACCCCA
rnacentral:tRNA from 2 species